GUGCUCGCUUUGGCGGCACAUACACUAAAAUUGGAACGAUACAGAGAAGAUUAGCAUGGCCCCCAUGCAAUGAUGACCCACAAAUUUGUUAAGCAUUCCAUAUUUAA
ensembl:snRNA U6 U6 spliceosomal RNA